UGAGGAAUAUUGGUCAAUGGGCGAGAGCCUGAACCAGCCAAGUCGCGUGAGGGAAGACGGCCCUACGGGUUGUAAACCUCUUUUGUCAGGGAGCAAGAACAGGCACGUGUGCCUGACUGAGAGUACCUGAAGAAAAAGCAUCGGCUAACUCCGUGCCAGCAGCCGCGGUAAUACGGAGGAUGCGAGCGUUAUCCGGAUUUAUUGGGUUUAAAGGGUGCGUAGGCGGACUGCCAAGUCAGCGGUAAAAUAGCGGGGCUCAACCCCGUCGAGCCGUUGAAACUGGUGGUCUUGAGUGGGCGAGAAGUACGCGGAAUGUGUGGUGUAGCGGUGAAAUGCAUAGAUAUCACGCAGAACUCCGAUUGCGAAGGCAGCGUACCGGCGCCCGACUGACGCUGAAGCACGAAAGCGUGGGUAUCGAACAGGAUUAGAUACCCUGGUAGUCCACGCAGUAAACGAUGAAUGCUAGCUGUCCGGGACGAAUGAGUCCUGGGUGGCACAGCGAAAGCGUUAAGCAUUCCACCUGGGGAGUACGCCGGCAACGGUGAAACUCAAAGGAAUUGACGGGGGCCCGCACAAGCGGAGGAACAUGUGGUUUAAUUCGAUGAUACGCGAGGAACCUUACCCGGGCUCAAACGCACUACGAAUGAUGCUGAAAGGUGUCAGCCAGCAAUGGCGUAGUGCGAGGUGCUGCAUGGUUGUCGUCAGCUCGUGCCGUGAGGUGUCGGCUUAAGUGCCAUAACGAGCGCAACCCCUACCGACAGUUGCUAACUGGUCAAGCAGAGGACUCUGUCGGGACUGCCGGCGCAAGCUGUGAGGAAGGCGGGGAUGACGUCAAAUCAGCACGGCCCUUACGUCCGGGGCGACACACGUGUUACAAUGGCAAGUACAGCGGGAAGCCACCUGGCGACAGGGAGCGGAACCCGAAAACCUGUCUCAGUUCGGAUUGGAGUCUGCAACCCGACUCCAUGAAGCUGGAUUCGCUAGUAAUCGCGCAUCAGCCAUGGCGCGGUGAAUACGUUCCC
rnacentral:rRNA from 1 species